rnacentral:rRNA from 1 species
AUUGAACGCUGGCGGAAUGCUUUACACAUGCAAGUCGAACGGCAGCACGGACUUCGGUCUGGUGGCGAGUGGCGAACGGGUGAGUAAUGUAUCGGAACGUGCCCAGUCGUGGGGGAUAACGUAGUGAAAAUUACGCUAAUACCGCAUACGAUCUAUGGAUGAAAGCGGGGGAUCGCAAGACCUCGCGCGAUUGGAGCGGCCGAUAUCAGAUUAGGUAGUUGGUGGGGUAAAGGCCCACCAAGCCAACGAUCUGUAGCUGGUCUGAGAGGACGACCAGCCACAAGGGAACGGAGACACGGCCCAGACUCCUACGGGAGGCAGCAGUGGUGAAGGUUGGACAAUGGGCGAAAGCCUGAUCCAGCCAUUCCGCGUGCAGGAUGAAGGCCAUCGGGUUGUAAACUGCUUUUGUACAGAACGAAAAGGUUUCUACUAAUACUAGGAGCUCAUGACGGUACUGUAAGAAUAAGCACCGGCUAACUACGUGCCAGCCGCCGCCGUAA